AAAAUCCGUCGACUUAUAUC
rnacentral:tRNA from 1 species